AUUAAAGAGGAGAAAUUAAC
rnacentral:misc_RNA from 1 species